rnacentral:tRNA from 1 species
GGGGGUGUGGCUCAGUGAUAGAGAGCUUGCCUAGCAUGCACAAAGCCCUGGGUUCAAUUCCCAGCACUGCCG